AUGAAAAUGAUCGGAUGGAACUGCCGGGGGCUCGGGAAUGGCCCGUCAGUUCGCAGCCUCCUCGACUUGGGGAGGGCGGAGGAGCCCGACGUUCUGUUUUUGGCGUAGACGAAGCUAUCGGUGCAGGAGUUGGAGAGGUUCCGUUGGUCAUUGGGUAUGGUUAAUAUGACUACAUGGAACCCAGUGGGGAGGAGUAGAGGGGUGGUGCUGUUUUGGAGGAGAGGGUUGGAUGUUGCGUUAAGAUCUUAUGGUAGGAGGCAUGUCGAUGUGGAUAUCACGGAAGAAGAUGGUCGGGUCUGGAGGCUAACAGGAAUAUAUGGUGAAUCUAAAUCGGAACGCAAGGUGGAGACGUGGAGGCUCUUAAAAAUCCUUGGAUAA
rnacentral:rRNA from 1 species